UACGUAGGGUGCAAGCGUUAAUCGGAAUUACUGGGCGUAAAGCGUGCGCAGGCGGUUUUGUAAGUCUGUCGUGAAAUCCCCGGGCUCAACCUGGGAAUGGCAUUUGGGACUGCAAGGCUCGAGUGCGGCAGAGGAGACUGGAAUUCCUGGUGUAGCAGUGAAAUGCGUAGAUAUCAGGAGGAACACCGAUGGCGAAGGCAGGUCUCUGGGCUGACACUGACGCUCAUGCACGAAAGCGUGGGGAGCAAACAGG
rnacentral:rRNA from 1 species